rnacentral:tRNA from 1 species
GGCCCUGUGGCCUAAUGGAUAAGGCGUCUGACUUCUAAUGAAAAGAUUGCAGGUUCGACUCCUGCUUGGGUCA